AUGGUAGGUGUCAAAGAGAAGAAAAAGAAGUUUCCUCCUGUGCCAGAAACCCUUAAGAAAAAGUGAAGGAAUUUCACUGAACUGAAGAUCAAGUACCUGAGAAAGAAGUUGGCGCCCAAAAUGUAUUGAAAAGCAAGGAAGCUUAUCUAUGAAAAAGCUAAGCACUAUCACAGGAAUAUAGGCAGAUGUACAGAACUGAGAUUCGAAUGGCUGGGGUAGCAAAAAAAAAAAAAAAAAUGACAUCUAUGUACCUGCAGAACCCAAACUGGCAUUUGUCACCAGGAUCAGAAGUAUCAAUGGUAUGAGCCCAAAGGUCUGAAAAGUGUUGCAGUUUCUUGGCCUUCAUCAGAUCUUCAAUGGAACCUUUGCUAAGCUCAACAAGGCUUCAAUUAACAUGCUUAGGAUUGUAGAAUCAUAUAUUGCAUGGGAGUUCCCAAACCUGAAGUCAGUAAAUGAACUAAUCUAAAAGCAUGGUUAUGGAAAAGUUAGUAAGAAGUGAAUUGCCUUGACAGAUGAUUGCUCGAUCUCUUGAUAAAUAUGGCAUCUUCUGCAUGGAGGAUCUGAUUCAUGAGAUCUAUACUGUUGGAAAAUGCUGCAAAGAAACAAAUGACUUCCUCUGGACCUUUAAAUUAUCCUCUCCACAAGGUGGAAUGAAGAAAAAGACCACCCAUUUUGUAAAAGGUGGAGAUGCUGGCAACAGGGAAGACCAGAUCAACAGGCUUAUUAGAAGGAUACACUAAGGUGUCAGCCAUGAUUAUUUUUGUUAACUGGUCAAUUAAUAAACAAUGCCUGGUUUCAAAUUGAAAAAAAUAAAAUAAAA